ACACUUGCUGCACAGGCACCAACCACCGCUGCUACUGUAGAUUGAAUGGAGCUGGCCAGUUUGGUACAGGAAAUUGAUGGUGAGCUAAGCGAAGGAGGCCUAGAGCCAGGACCGGCUUGGACUCCAAGUGGAUGAACUGAUGACCCACCUGCUCCUUCAGGGCUGGUAGGAGGUUGAUUGCGCUGCAGCCAACCUGAACUGUUCCCCCAAUUUUUCCCCUUUUUUUUUGGUCACUACCUCUCACAACGAAGUCCUCCAUUAUUGGGUCACCAAGACUCGAUGGACUAACUAUCAGCUGAAUAUCAGCGGAACCAUUGUGAAUCUCACACGUUGCAUACUCGUAUAUCCGUGCAAAUAGCACCCACUUAAUGGCCAUUCAAUCAGGUAACCACACUAAAGUCCACGUUGGGUCUCUCCACUGAAUGAAGCAAAACACCUGUUCCCAGGCAACAGUGGUGUAACAGUGCAUCCGGCCACCAGAGGGUGCAGACAAUGUGCCCCCAUCAACGUCCCACCGCCCUUGUGUGGAACCAAAGAAGCCUCCGGAUGUUGCAUGGACACAAUGAUGAGGCAAGCAGACAAACAAAAGCCAUAUGUGUCCCCAAUCUUUAAAGAUGUAACCACACGCUUGUAGAUGAAAGAUAUGCACCUUUUCAAAGUUAGUCUUUGAUGCACACAAAAAACUCCAUGCAUUCACCGACCAACUGUAUUUUUUUGUGCAAUGGAACCCAGACACCUGGAAAAUGAGUUAGCCACUGUGGACUGAAGUGGAGGUCAGCAGGUCAAAUAUAUUAGACACAG